GGGAGCAGAUAGGUAGCUGGUGUGCCUCCCGGUCUUCAAAACCGGUGUGGGGGGUUAGAAGCCUCCCGGGUGGGUUCGAUUCCCACCUCUCCCG
rnacentral:tRNA from 1 species